UACGAAGGGGGCUAGCGUUGCUCGGAAUCACUGGGCGUAAAGGGUGCGUAGGCGGGUCUUUUAAGUCAGGGGUGAAAUCCUGGAGCUCAACUCCAGAACUGCCUUUGAUACUGAAGAUCUUGAGUUCGGGAGAGGUGAGUGGAACUGCGAGUGUAGAGGUGAAAUUCGUAGAUAUUCGCAAGAACACCAGUGGCGAAGGCGGCUCACUGGCCCGUAACCGACGCUGAGGCACGAAAGCGUGGGGAGCAAACAGG
rnacentral:rRNA from 1 species